rnacentral:rRNA from 1 species
UAACGGCCGCGGUAUUUUAACCGUGCAAAGGUAGCGCAAUCAAUUGUCUUUUAAAUGGAGACCUGUAUGAAUGGCAUCACGAGGGUUUAGCUGUCUCUUUUUCCUGGUCAAUGAAACUGAUCUGCCCGUGCAGAAGCGGGCAUAACAUUACAAGACGAGAAGACCCUAUGGAGCUUUAGACGCCCACCAACCAUGAAAAGCAACCCCGAUCAAGGGGCCCCUAAGCAACAUGGCCCUGGCACAAACGUCUUCGGUUGGGGCGACCACGGGAGAAAACAAAGCUCCCGAGCGGAUAGGGGACACCCUAAAACCCAGAGCCACUGCUCUAAGUCACAAAAUAUUUGACCGACAAUGAUCCGGCUUCUUGCCGAUCAACGGACCAAGUUACCCUAGGGAUAACAGCGCAAUCCCCUCCCAGAGUCCAUAUCGACGAGGGGGUUUACGACCUCGAUGUUGGAUCAGGACAUCCUGAUGGUGCAGCCGCUAUCAAGGGUUCGUUUGUUCAACGAUUAAAGUCCUACGUGAUCUGAGUUCAGACCGGAGUAAUCCAGGUCAGUUUCUAUCUGUACCGCCACC